CAAUAGCGUAUGUUUAAGUUGCUGCAGUUAAAAAGCUCGUAGUUGGAUUUCGGGUGGGAAUGGCCGGUCCGCCGUUUCGGUGUGCACUUGCUACGCCCACCUUGCUGCCGGGGACGUGCUCUUGAGUUCACGCUCGGGACACGGAGUCGGCGAGGUUACUUUGAGUAAAUUAGAGUGUUCAAAGCAGGCCUACGCUCUGAAUACAUUAGCAUGGAAUAACACGAUAGGACUCUGGCCUAUCUUGUUGGUCUGUAGGACCGGAGUAAUGAUUAAGAGGGACAGUCGGGGGCAUUCGUAUUUCAUUGUCAGAGGUGAAAUUCUUGGAUUUAUGAAAGACGAACUACUGCGAAAGCAUUUGCCAAGGAUGUUUUCAUUAA
rnacentral:rRNA from 1 species